UACGGGGGGUGCGAGCGUUGUCCGGAAUCACUGGGCGUAAAGGGCGCGUAGGUGGUUUGAUAAGGGUGUGGUGAAAGCCCCGGGGCUCCAACCCCGGGUCUGCCGUGCCGACUGUCAAACUCGAGGGCUGUAGAGGCAGACGGAAUUCCGGGUGUAGCGGUGGAAUGCGUAGAGAUCCGGAGGAAGACCGGUGGCGAAGGCGGUCUGCUGGGCGUGUUCUGACACUGAGGCGCGACAGCGUGGGGAGCAAACAGG
rnacentral:rRNA from 1 species